CACUCAACUCUCGAGUCUCCGUGGUAGCACUGGUGACUGGUGAGGCGACGAGAAGGCUCAGAGCGGUGGUGCCAGGCAGUAAGUCAGCUCAGUUGUACGUGAUUCGUGACGGCCAGUCAUUAAUAAGAACUGUCCUUUAGCCGGUGUGUUCACUUAUUGUGGACAAGAACUGUUCGUGUCAAUUUUGGACAUCCAGAAGGAAUGACUCGGCUGGUAGCAACAGCAAUAGUUAUAUUGGUGGCGACGGCAUGCAUAGGUCUCGUCUUCGCACGAACAACGGGCGAUUGUGUGGGCCAGUGUAAGCGUUUGGACAAUAAUGGAAACUGUCGGACUGUUUACAACUGUGGCGGGGACAACCAGCAGGACAACGCCUUGACCUCCAUUUUUGCACCGACUCCGUGCAGGCAGAAGUGCUACGCCUACGUGAGGGGUCGCUGCCGUCUCAGGUUCUCCUGUUUGCUGGGAUAAUUCAUACAAGCUGCUGGAGUUUUGUUCAUCCCCUGGGAUAAUGGUUUGUACUAACGAUAUAGUGCUGUUUAGUUUCAAUUAUUGUUGAUAAGGAAAUGUAGUUUUGUAAAGCAUACAACUUCGAUUAAUAAUUAAUCGAAAUUGACCCUCCCUUUUGGUCACUCGCUCUGUAGCCUACUCAUUUGGCUGGAACAGCGCAUUAGCGGGCUUUUUUGUGUUGUUUUUGUUGCCCUUUGGCUGCUUCCAUUGCUGUAAAAAUAAUAAAUUAGACACUGUCGUUUCAAAGCAAGCAUUAGACUAGCUAGAUCCACCCAUGAACACAGUGUCAGGGUGGAAACAUUUUUUAAAAGAUAUAAUGAUAAUGAUUUAAUUGCUGUUGACGGGUUGAUCUUUUUUUUAUUGUUGCCAAAAAAAAUACAGUACAGGAGAUGGGAGGUGCUUGUCUUCCACUGGUUUUGUCUAGUUUGGGAAGUAUAUAUAUAGCCACUACCAUGGAGAUAUAAUGAUAACGUAUGGUGCGUCUUUUUAUAUCACUUUCGUCCAGCUAAUUUCUGGCCCUUACAAAGCUAACCAUUGACCAACCAAAGAAACAUACAAUACCUUGGUAGGGUCAGGAUAAGCACUCACCUCAGCCCUGCCACUUAACGAAUUUUUCCAGCAUUCAGUUACAUUAUCUUUGAAAAAUAUGUUUGCUUUGGAACAAGCCCACGCAAGUUGGAGGUUGUAGUGAGUGGUGACUACUCGGCCUUCCUAACACCCUUACCAAGGUAUUGUAUGAUUAUUAGGCUGUGUAGCGGUUUGUAUAGUAAAGGACAACAGGAAUAAGUUGUUCGUACCUUGAACACUCUCUCUCUGGCGUGAGAGUAGCACAACGACCAACUUCACUUUGCUUACUCAUAAUGUCUAAUCGAGUAGGCGUGUAUUAUCUGUUUGACAGGUUUGCUUUCACUGUAAUCAUCCUGAAACAGGAUGUCGACCAAACUUUCAUUCAUUAACUAAUACUGUCGCCUCCCUUGGUCGUCUCCAUGUAGGAACGUACAACUAUUGCAGUGGUUCUUGACCUUUUUUUAGUGCCCGUACCCCUUGAGAUCUCAUGAAUUUAUCUUGUACCGCCGAUCAGGAAAAAAAUAUAUAAUUAUGACGGUAAUUAACUAAUAUACAAUACAAAUUAUUGUACUUUGAUUUAAAACCGUUGGACUCAAGGUGGUUAAAACAUCUGAGACAAAAUAAUUAGAAAUAAUUACCGACCCCUUAUAUAAAUAUGAUACUGAAUUAUUGCUAAACAUGUCUCGUAACCCCAGGUGUAAGGUGUCGUACCCCAUGGGGUUACACAUGCUCCAGGUUAAGAACCACUGCUCUAUUGUCACCAUUCGGUAGUGACUAGUGACUACCUUUAUAAGGGCUCGUUCUCAACCACCUAUGACUUUUUAUUGUAUGCUAAUCAACUGUGCUCAGAAAUGCUUGUAAUGCAUAAAAUAAAUGUGCAAAACUCA